UACGUAGGGUGCAGGCGUUACUCGGAAUUACUGGGCGUAAAGCGUGCGCAGGCGGUUUGCUAAGACAGAUGUGAAAUCCCCGGGCUCAACCUGGGAACUGCAUUUGUGACUGCAAGGCUAGAGUACGGUAGAGGGGGAUGGAAUUCCGCGUGUAGCAGUGAAAUGCGUAGAUAUGCGGAGGAACACCGAUGGCGAAGGCAAUCCCCUGGACCUGUACUGACGCUCAUGCACGAAAGCGUGGGGAGCAAACAGG
rnacentral:rRNA from 1 species